CUACGGGACGCAGCAGUGGGGAAUAUUGCACAAUGGGCGCAAGCCUGAUGCAGCCAUGCCGCGUGUAUGAAGAAGGCCUUCGGGUUGUAAAGUACUUUCAGCGGGGAGGAAGGGAGUAAAGUUAAUACCUUUGCUCAUUGACGUUACCCGCAGAAGAAGCACCGGCUAAGUCCGUGCCAGCAGCCGCGGUAAUACGGAGGGUGCAAGCGUUAAUCGGAAUUACUGGGCGUAAAGCGCACGCAGGCGGUUUGUUAAGUCAGAUGUGAAAUCCCCGGGCUCAACCUGGGAACUGCAUCUGAUACUGGCAAGCUCGAGUCUCGUAGAGGGGGGUAGAAUUCCAGGUGUAGCGGUGAAAUGCGUAGAGAUCUGGAGGAAUACCGGUGGCGAAGGCGGCCCCCUGGACGAAGACUGACGCUCAGGUGCGAAAGCGUGGGGAGCAAACAGGAUUAGAUACCCCUGUAGUC
rnacentral:rRNA from 1 species